UGCCACGACCAAAUCCAAAUCCCCCAAACCUAAAUCCUCUCACGCACUCCCUCCGCCGCCGCCCGCUAGCUAGCAGCCCGCACGCCGCCGACCACCCGCCGUCUCCAGCACGCCGUCACCUGUCUCCUUCAUCCUCCUGCACCCCCACUGCUUAGGCCCCGAACACUUCUAACCCUAGCUUGUGCGCUGGAGUUCGGGGAGAGGCCAAGGCGCGGUGGUGGACGCCGCCAUCCCUCUCAGAUCCGGGGCUGAGAGAGGGAGGGAGGGAGGGAGAGGUGGGUCACCUGCGAGAGAGAGCACUCGCACUCUCGCUCGUCAGCCGUCACCCAGGAGCCGCCACCACUGCCGCCACGCCAUGGGCUUCCUCCGAUCUGCGCUCGCCGGUUUGUUUGAAGAAGGAUCUGGCCGUUGACUGCUGGUGCUUCCCCUCCCCGGGCGAUCAGCCAUGACUUGGGAUAGUACUUCUAUCCAGCAAGCAGCGUUUUGGAUGUGAACUCCAGCUCAAGCAGAGCAUCAAAAACAGGGGCUCUAUCUGCUAAUGGGGUAGCCGGCAAUGCAGUCUAAGAGCUACAUCUCGUGUGAUUUCUGGAUAUGAGAACUUGAGAAGAACAAGCUUGAUGCUAUUAUUGAAAAAAAUAAUCUAUGCUACAGGAUUCUUCUUUGCAUCCCAUACACUUAGACGGAGUGGGAGGCUGCCGCAGCGGUGCUGGACUCGGAGCCCAAGCCAUCCGACGCCGCCAACAGAAGUUGCAGAAGUGUAAUGCUGACUCUACUCGAAUGAUGAUUAUCCCUACAUGCAUAACAUAUUAUAAAGAGAUCUUCCUACGUGCCCCUUUUGUAAGGAUUUGAUUAGCAACCACUAUUGUUCAGGAAUUUUGAGUGGCGCACAUCUUGGUCUGGCGAGCCGGUGACCGGACAUCAUUUGUCAAGGAAGCAAAAAGGACUACACUCACAAGGAACCAUGAAGCCAACGAUCCACGUCAACUAGAUGUUUUAGCUUUCAUUUUGUACAACUGAUGUCUCAUACCUUGCACCUUUUGACUGUCCUUUUGUAAACCUGAUGUAUGGUUCCUCGGUGGUUUUGUUUAGAACAGAUUGAAGUGUAUGUAUAUGCCAAUUAGUUAAUGGAAUAAAAAAUGUUUGGUGCUCC